GAAAAGGCUUGUGGCUCAUCGUUUGUUCUCCUUUGGGAUCCCAUGGCCUAGAUGCUGGAAUCUCCUAGUGUCUAAUGUGUGCUUUGUCACCGAGUUCAGCUGUCUAGCACUGAUGUCUUAACGCCGUCUGAGAUAUUUCAGGAUACCCCCUCUGGCCUAUAGCUGCUCCUGAAGGAGUCCCGGAGCUGCCGUCCCCUACCCUUAAGGUCAGUAAACAUCUCCCGCCUGCCAAAAGCACAAAGGGCACCACAG
ensembl:lncRNA